rnacentral:sRNA from 1 species
UACAUAACAAACACUGCACUCCUCCCUCA